rnacentral:rRNA from 1 species
UACCAGCACCCCGAGUGGUCGGGACGAUUAUUGGGCCUAAAGCAUCCGUAGCCGGUCCUACAAGUCUUCCGUUAAAUCCACCUGCUCAACAGAUGGGCUGCGGAAGAUACUAUAGGGCUAGGAGGCGGGAGAGGCAAGCGGUACUCAGUGGGUAGGGGUAAAAUCCUCUGAUCCAUUGAAGACCACCAGUGGCGAAGGCGGCUUGCCAGAACGCGCUCGACGGUGAGGGAUGAAAGCUGGGGGAACAAACCGG